rnacentral:lncRNA from 1 species
UAAAAUCUCAUAAAAGACUUUGUAUUUAAAAACAAAAGGAGUAGUUGGCAUGCAUGAUGAUACUUUCAUUACGACCAGCGCGAAAACGCAAGUGCUUCUGCAUCUUCGAUCACACCAGAAGGCACAGAUUGGUUCAGAAGUUCCAGCCGCUACAGACAUAAAUUUUGUGAUGUAACAUCGACGAAACACACGACAUUGAUUACAUCAGUCAUCAUUCCGAUAGAAGCAACAGCUGCAGGUAGACACUUAACAGAAUAUGCGAAUAAAGCUACCCAUGCUAGUACAAGUAGAACCCUCUCCAACAGAACUCUUCCCAGCCUUCACAGAGCACAUUCCGGCAACCGAAACCAUCGACUAUAAUGGAUACUGCAGACAGAACACUUGCACUUCCUGUAAAAUCUUAGGCGCCGAAACAUGCAGGCACGUCUGAGUUCAGAGGCAGGAAAAGGGAUCGUCAGAAGACAAAUCUGAUCCCGCUUCAAUGCUCCAAGAACUUCCGAUAGGAUUGCCACUGAUCUCGAGUCGCACUUUGCAGUUCGUAUUGGCCCAGCUAGCACAGCUAAGAUCCCCCAGUUUGGCAACCACCAUCUGCCUCUCGGUGUAAGUUAGGUCUUGUUUAAUUUGGAUGAUCAGCCUCUCCAGCUUUGGUGCGUUCUCCACGAUGAACAUGAUGAAAUCAAACUCGUCAUCAUUCCCUUGUAGCUCACAGAAAGACAGAGUUUUGAGGUGCGACCCGACACACUCAAUAGGACUUGUCCCCUGCCAGAACUUGAGACUGCGAUUGCUGGUGGUUUCAAGAAAAGACUGCAAUUCGGGUAAGCAAACAAUUCAGCUGCACAUGGUGCUGAUUAUGCAGCAGCAAUCUGAUUCAAUGUACUGAUGAUGCUCCAAAUGCCAAAUGAAGCAAGAGGUGGGGUUACCUCGAUAAUCAGUGUGUCCAAGUUAGGAAAGCAUCUGAGGAAGCUGGGAAGCAUCUUGACUUGAUUGCGAUCUCCAAAAUGCAGUUGCAAAGCCAACAUC